rnacentral:lncRNA from 1 species
UCAACUCUGCCCUUUUCAACUUUUGUAGUCUUUUUAAGCAUUUGCUAAUUACUAAACUGUUGACACGUGUAACGAAUUAGGACUGAAGAGGAAACUUGAGCAAUGAUUAUAUGAUUAUAUAGAUAUAAGCCAUAUCUGUUGUUUCCGUGAUACUGUAUUUUCUUUUGUGCUAGUUACCAUUAGCUUUAUUUUUUUAUCAAACCAUUUUAUUAACUUCUUACAAUUUCAUUUAAGCAGAUAUCUAGUGUCAAAGGUGACAGUGAACCCACAAAGGUGGAGAAUGAAUACAUAAGCAACACUGUUGGUGAUGCCUCUGAUACAGGAGAGCCAACUGGGAAGCCUGCAGACGUAGAUGAUGUGGUAGACGAUGUGCAGGAAGAAACCAUAGGAUCUACAUGUGACGAACAACAUCAGGAAAAUAUUGAGAGCAACGAAAAAAACGAGGAUGGUGAACAGAGAGAAGACAAACAUCAAACUCUUCAACAAGAGGAAUUAGUUUCUGAAGUUGAAAAUCAAGAGACAACCUCCACAACAGGCGCUAAAAAGAUGGAGAUCUCAAAAGAAGGCGAAAACCUCAUUAAUAUGGUAACCUGCUUUAUUCAAUUGCAUAGUAUGUUAAAUUCCUUGGGACCUUUCUGGAAGCUAAAAUAACUUACCCAGCAUAUCUUCUCUUACUGACUCGAGAACUAUUUAUUUCUUGAUUGUUAAGGAGAACAAAAUUAUGUCUAAACCGAAGAGCAAAAAAAGUAAGCAAACUUAUUUUUAAGGAUAUGAUAAAUCACCUUGUAGGUGAACUGGUGAAGCAUAUUAGUUUAUAUCAUCAUGGCGGAAAAUUGUCUAAAGUCAAAGUCUGUUCUCAUAAUCACUAAUUGUUACCUCCAUCCAAUACUAGUUAUCUACACAUACAUUAAGGGUUUGUAUAUUGCGCAGUUGUAGAGAUUUUUUACACUCCCUAUCAACCAUUACCACAUGCACCUUGAGCAAACAGAAAGUCAUCAGCUGAACAAGAUACUCGUGCGUCUAAGAUUCUAAAUAGGCCAUAUAGAUUUUGCAUUGAAAGACAAUACAAUAAUUCUAGCCUGUCAACUAUUUUUGAAACUUGUCUUUUAUUAAACCUCUAAUUUACCUACUGUGGGCAGAUUUCUGAAUCAGUAAAUCUGGAGGAAACUAAAAUUGAAAAUGACACGGAUGAUGAGAAGAUCAAGGAGAGCGUUGAAGAUAAUCCCCGAGAUCAUGCCUUGCUUUCACAAACAAGACAUGAUGUAGCAGACGAAGACCACACAAAAGCAGAUCAAAGUUUGGAAGGGAAGGACGGUAAUAUUGUAAGUCUUGAGAAAGAAAGUAUCAAAAGCAAGGGACCUGAUGAGGUUCACCCCAGUGAAUCAGAAGCACAUCAGCGUUUGGUGGACAAAGACAACAAUAUUGUAAGUCUUGAAAAAGAAAGCAUUGAAAGCAAAGGGCCUGAUGAGGUUCAACCCGGUGAAUCAGAAGCCACCAAGGUAGACUUUCUUUUGAAUUCUUCAAAACUUUAUGUAUUUAAUUUAACUAUUCAAUUUGCUUUCCUUAAACUCUCUGUUUUUCCAACAUGCCUCCUCAUCUCAAGUUUGACUUGUGAAAAUUUUGAUCAAGCAGGUUGCUGAAAUUGUUAGCACAACUGACGAAGCUGAAACUACGUCUGUAGAUGGAGGGGAAAGUGUUGAUGUUGACAAAGAUAAGGCAGAGUAUCAAGAGCACAAAAACGUUAUAGAGUCAGUGAUGGAGGAAUAUAAUAAAGGGGGAGCAAAUGAAACACAAAUGGCCAAGAGCCACCAGGUAAUAAUUGAUUCAAUGCCACGUAUGGUUUCGUACUAAGUCCAAAAUUCGUAUAUUUUACUGCAUGGCCAGAAGUAUAGAAACGAUUGAACUAAUAAUUCUUAGCUUCUCCUCUAAAACCCCCAUUUCUAUAUAACAUUAAUUGUUGUCCUAUCUUGAUCAGAUUCCUGAAAUGGAUGAUCUAAGCCCUGAAAAGGCUUCGGAGACAAAUGAAUCGGUGAUGAAAGAUAUGCAUGACAAAACUAAAACAAAGCAUGAAGAAGAGCCAGAUUUUGCAAGUAACAAGCCAAUUAAUCAGACUACCAUGCCUGAACAAAGUCGAAUUCCUGAAGAAGAAAAUACUAUCAUGGAAAGCAAAACAGAGUCAAGCUUCCCAAAGGAUGCAAUUGAAAAUGCCCUGAAAUCAGACCCUGAAGAGAAGGAUGAGGAAAUGCUAAAGAAUGACGAGUCCUCACAUAUUUUCCCAGAGUCCUCUCCCGACGCUGAUCAUAACAUUGCUGAGGGAUUAUGUCAUCAAGAUGAAGGGAACAAGAUAUAUGAGGAUGCAGCACCAGAAACUGCAUUCGGCAAUCAAAGCUGUGAAGCAAAUGAGGAGCAAAGAGAAACAGAGAAAAAAGAUAUGCCUAUGAAGUACAUUGACACUGUAAACAGUCAAGAAGAGACGAUACAUAAAGAAGAUUCUGAUAAUGUGGAAGAGAGCGAGAAGUGUGCAGGAGAGGAUGGAACCGCUUUAACACUUGAGCGAGCAUCUGCAGCAAAGGAUGAUGAACAAAGAGAAGAGAAAUUUCAAAAUCCUCAUGACAUAGAAUCAGAAAUGGACGUUAAGAAAGAAAAGACAACCUCUGAAGCAGAAAGCUCCAAGGUAGCGCACUUUUGGCAAAAACAUCACAAAUAUGUCCAUCUCCUUUAUCCAGUAUCCCACAUAUCAAAUUCCGAAAUUCCUAUUAUCUCCUCUUAUUUAUUCAAGAACUAUUAAGUUAGUUGAUUGUUAAUAUACAUAAAAAGGUGUAUAAAACCAAAUAAAAAGGAAAAUGGAAUCUUAAUUUUUUAAGGUUAUGAUAAAUCAACUUAUAGGUAAAUACACUACCUUAAAAAUUCACAACGACCAGCCAAACUAUGAACUUACAAUCACCCAAGAAAACCAUCAUCAAACAAAGGUGGUCUACAUACAACCUUUUGAGACAUCAGAUAGAUGUUUGCAUUAAAAAGUUUCAGCAAAGAAAAUAAGUUUUCUUAUCUGCUGUUACAUUCUCCUACUAGGCUUUUGUUAGGCUUCUAGCUAUAUUAGCCAGCAUAAUGAUAUCCUAAAUACCUUACCUUAAAUAAGUAAAAUCACAUAAAUAUGUUCCUCCCUAUAAACCUUAAAAGCAAAUUUGAAAUGUGUAAAAUUUCUAAUUUAAAAAUUUUUACAUUUCUAUUUUCCUGAUAUAAUUUGAAUGGUGUGCAGACCACAGCCUCAGACGGAUUGAGUGAAGAGGCGGACUUUGCAAGCGAAAAGGAUGAAAACAUGUGCAAGAAAGGUGAUUGUGCUAGAGAGACCGUUCAAGAUUUUUCGGAGGAAACUACUCAUAGAGCAGGGAAGGGCGGAGAGGAAACAGAUACAAAGAAUAUUGGAGGUGAAGACAAUGAUAGAGAUGUAAAAGGAAUCCCAGAUGUGGCACCUCAGGGAGAUUAUAAUACAAAGACACCAAAUAAUACAUACACAAAAGAAAUUAUGAUAGCAGUAGAACAAGAAGAUGAGGCGAGGACACAAGUGAGUUCAGAUAAUGAAAAAACAGAAGGUGAAAAGGUAUCAACAUAUCAACUCUGCCCUUUUCAACUUUUUUUAGCCUUUUUAAGCAUUUGCUAUUAACUAAACUGUUGAUACGUGUAAGGAAUUAGGGCUAAAGAGGAAACUUGAGCAACGAUUAUAUAAUUAUAUAGAUAUAAGUCAUAUAUGUUGUUUCCGUGAUAUCGUAUUUUCUUUUGUGCUUGCUAUCAUUAGCUUUAUUUUUUGAUCAAACCAUUUUAUUAACUUCUUACAAUUUCAUUUAAGCAGAUAUCCAGUGUCAAAGGUGACAGUGAACCCACAAAGGUGGAGGAUGAAUACAUAAGCAACACUGUUGUUGAUGCCUCUGAUACAGGAGAGCCAACUGGGAAGCCUGCAAACGUAGACGAUGUGGUAGAUGAUGUGCAGGAAGAAACCAUAGGAUCUAUAUGUGAAGAACAACAUCAGGAAAAUGUUGAGA